GAUACAUUCACUGGAAAGCAUGCAUCCUGUUGAUGUUGUUCAUACUGGCCUUCUGAAAUGGUGGCGUGGCAGUACAGCAGAGAUCAAGCCAGCAGCUCCCUCCUUUGCAAGCUUCCUUGAUGCAUGGCCCUGUCUCCGGAGUCCCUGGUUCAAGACCCUUCACUGUUAGUCUAGGAUACUACUUUUACAGGAUGCCCAAAAGGAGUUGUUCCAGAAAUGUUUCUGUAGAGGAUCAAAGUUCUGAGAUAUUGUGGAAAAUACAGGGAUACUACUACGCCUGGCAAAAUUGGCAUGGACUGAGCUCAGGCUAUCAAGUGGAAUGGAUUACAUCCAAUCCCUGCAAAAAGAUUUGCAUGGAUAUGUCUAAGCAUGGAGGAAGUUAUAAACUAUUGAGAGCAUGUGUAUGUGUGUCUGCCGAUUCAUGUGGCUUGAGCUAUCUUUCCUUUAUAGAAAAAAAAAUUACUCCACAUAAUUAAGGCAUACAUAGAAUAAUGCAAUAUACUACAACUCAGCAUUUAGUUGUGAGAGAUAUAGUAAUCUGCCUACUGACGUUGGCCAUUCCAGGCUAUUUACAUGAGAGUUCCUCCAUCUUGAGAGGAUGCCCAACAAACUGUUCUUUCUAGAAACUUGUAUACAUGAGCUUUCAUGAACAUGCACAAGAAAGUAGUUUUUCAAGAAUAUUCAGUAAAAUGGCAUUGGAAAGUUUGAGAAAGCACCAUAUAUACUUUGAUGAAGGGAAGCUGUCCAGGAAACCAGAAGAUGGUGUUCUAAAGGAAGAGUAUUUUAUGUCCUCAGCAAUAUGAUGGCUGACACACACCUAACUGCCAUCAUAGAAAAUCUAGCCUUAACAAAAGAAGUUUGAAUCCUGGUACUUGGUAUUACAAUCCCCGCAGCAUACCAACAGUAUUACAGUCCUUACCACAGGGAUCAUCUUACCUUUGCAGAUGCGCAAUAGUGAGAAGAUAUUUAGUCAAAGAAAAAUGCAAGAUAGCAUCAGCUAAUCAUUCUGAUUUCAGCAGACCAGCCCUUCACUAUCAGGCUUUGUUGUUGUUUUUUCCCCAUGGCGUACAGCAGCAAAGUACAUACCUUUUGAUACUUCCAGGGAAAUCUUGUUCUAAUCCUAUUUCAUUUGAGAAUGAAGGUUCCUAAAUAGAUGGAUGUGCCUCUUUAUCCGGCAUGCCACUGUAAUCAGUUUAGACAUACUGCUACAAUCAGCAUGCCCUGAACUAAGUGCACUACUUCAAGUUGUAGAUUUAGACUGGUCUAAAUAUUAUGACUGCUUGAGCCUCCACAUGGCAAAUAAGCUAGACAAUGGUGAUAACAUGUAGGUUGGCUUAACCCAUCGAUCCACCAAAGCAGCAUAGAGAAGUCCACUUAAUU